CAGUCGCCACGGUAAUACGAAGGGGGCUAGCGUUGCUCGGAAUUACUGGGCGUAAAGGGAGCGUAGGCGGAUCGUUAAGUUGGGGGUGAAAGCCCGGGGCUCAACCUCGGAACUGCCUUCAAUACUGGCGAUCUUGAGUAUGAGAGAGGUGUGUGGAACUCCGAGUGUAGAGGUGAAAUUCGUAGAUAUUCGGAAGAACACCAGUGGCGAAGGCGACACACUGGCUCAUUACUGACGCUGAGGCUCGAAAGCGUGGGGAGCAAACAGGAUUAGAUACCCAGUAGUCCCUGUCUCUUAUACA
rnacentral:rRNA from 1 species